ensembl:lncRNA
AAUUUUUUUCUUUUUUUUUCUUUUUUUUUUAUCUUUUUAGGACUGCACCCAAGGCAUAUGGAGGUUUCCAGUCUAGGGGUUGAAUCAGAGCUGUAGCCAUGGGCCUAUGCCACAGUGACAGCAACACCAGAUCUGAGCCACAUCUGCGACCUACGCCACAGCUCACGGCAAUGCCAGAUCCUUAACCCACUGAGUGAGGCAAGGGAUUGAACCUGUGUCUUCAUGGAUGCUAGUCAGAUUCAUUUCCAUUGAGCCACAAUGGGAACACCAAAAAUUUUUAUUUUCUUCAUAUUGGGUUUUCAGUGCAUAAUAAGGUAUGUAAUCUUAAAAACUGUGUGCAAUUCUUGUAUCUUUUAUAUCAUAUUACAAGGGUAAGACUAGAGUGGUAUUGAAGAAUAAUAUGUAAUAGGAGUUAUCAUUGCCUAGUUUGUGGUUUUAUUAAUAUGUGUGACCAUUCAUUCUACCCAAGCUGCUGUUAAUGGGAUAAAGAAUAUUUAUCUUAGAUAUUUCAUUUUAUACUUAGAUUCCCUAAAGUUUUAGUUAGUAAUAGGUAUGGUUGCUUAGAUAUCUUUUUGGCACCUCUUGGGAUGACUGUGGAGUUUUUAUCACAAUUAAACUCUGCUUGACUUGCUACACUAAGCCCUACUUGGCAGCAGAUAAAUGAUAGCAUAAUGGAUGCUCCCUAUCUGGUUUGACUGUUGUCAAAUCUACUUCUCAAUUAGGUCUUCUAGGAUUUCAUUUAGAAUUUUUGCCUCUAUAUUCAAAAGCAAUAUUGCUGUUAGGUUUUAGUGUUAGAAUUAUGCUAGCUUUUGAUAUUUCCCAAUGUUCUAGAAGGAAUAAGAUAAGAAUAAGAAUAUUCUAUUCCUGGAAAAUUUUAAAGAACAUCAGUGUUAAAACUGUCUAGCACUGAGCCUUCUUUUGCUGUCUUAUUUAAUCUGGAAAGUUUCUCUAUUUUUGGUCUCACUUGAUCUUGACAUUUUUGAAGAGUACAGGCUGGUUAUUUAGUAGAAUGUUCCUCGGUUUGAGUUUACCUAAUGUUUCCUCUUGAUUAGUCUCAGGUUUUACCUUUCGGGCACCCACAGCAGUAAUGAUACGUUGUUCUCAGUGUACCAUGUCAGGAGUCCCAUGACCUAAUACCAGGGGUGUUAACUUUAAUCACUUGACAAAGGUGGUGUCCAUCAGGUUUAUUCACUGUAGAGUUAGAAUUUUUCUCCUUGUAAUUAAUAAGUAAUGGGUGGAUAAAUACGCUGGGACUUUUAAGUAUCUACUUCUCAGUCAACAUUCACGCACAAGUUUUAAAAUAAAACUACCAAUGAUUUUUCCAACCCUAUCAUUUCUCUAUAUUUAUUUCUUUUUACAUUCAGUUGGCAUUUUUCAGAAGACCUGUAGAUUAUUUUAUCCAAUGAAUUAAAUUAUAUUUUUCUGUUGUUCAUAUUGUCCCAGAAGGGCCAGUAGGAGUCCCGUCAAGCUGGCAACUGUGUCUUUUUGGUAUGUUUCCAUCAUUUUCUUCUUUUUUUUCUUUUUAUGGCCAUUCCUGCAGCAUGUGGAAGUUCCCAGGCAAGGGAUCCAAUCAGAGCUGUAGCCACCAGCCUGCGCCACAGCCACAGCCACAGCCACAGCCACGCCAGAUCCAAGCAGCGUCUGUGACCUACACCACAGCUCACGGCAACGCCGGAUCCCUAACCUGCUGAGCAAGGCCAGGGAUCAAACCCGUGUUCUCAUGGAUGCUGGUCAGGUUCGCUAACCACUGAGCCACAGCGGAAACUCCUAGAUUCAUACACCUUUUAACACAAAGAUUUAUACACUUCUCCAGUUUAUAGACUCCUCAGGGUCACCAGAUGGACGAAAAGUGCCUGACGUGUAGUAACGCUUUACAGUUCGUACAGCAAUCCCGUAUCAGUCGUUAAAUCCAUCUUUACAACAAUCCUCUAAGGUAGACGGGAAAGGGCCGUGGCCCUGUUUUGCAGAUGGUCAGAGUGAGGUCACCCAGACUCAGUGGCCGAGCGCCCGCUGCCGCUCCACCCUGAAGCCCAGCCCUCUCUGCUCUUUGCCUCCCUGAGGUUUUUAUCCUUAUCAUUGUGUGCAUAGCUCUAUGGCCAUUUAUCCUUCAACAGUCUUUUAAUGGAAAGACUGGGAAAGUCAGAGUGAUUCUGCUUCAUCUUCUUGCUCUUUUCCUAAUGAAUUCUGCAGGUCAAUUUAUCCUCAGCCAGAAUUCCAGGAAAGCUUCUGCAUCUACUUAGCUGGUGCAUUUGCAUGUCAAGUCUUUAAUUCAGCUGUCAGCUCUUUUUUUUUUUUUUUAACAGUACUUUCAUUAGUAAAUGGUAUUUUGAGGGUCCCACACUAAUCAAGCCGAUUUGAGAUGGGGCAGGAGGGAAGCCCCAAAUGUGAUUUACAGAAGAAUCCUUGAGGAUGUUAAAAGAAUUGUUACCUUACACAUGUGUUUUAAUCACAAUGUGUAGAAUUAGAUUAGUCAAGGUAUUAGUUUUUUGUUGGUUUUUUGUUUUUUUUGUUUUUUGUUUUUGUCUUUUUAGGGCCGCACCCGCCUAUGGCAUAUGGAAGUUCCCAGGCUAGGGGUCAAAUCAGAGCUGUAGGGGAGUUCCCGUUGUGGCACAGUGGUUGACGAAUCCGACUAGGAACCAUGAGGUUGCGGGUUCGGUCCCUGCCCCUUGCUCAGUGGGUUAAUGAUCCGGUGUUGCCAUGAGCUGUGGUGUAGGUUGCAGACGCGGCUCGGAUCCCACGUUGCUGUGGCUCUGGCGUCGGCCGGUAGCUACAGCUCCGAUUCGACCCCUAGCCUGGGAACCUCCAUAUGCCGCGGGAGCGGCCCAAGAAAUAGCAAAAAGACCAAAAAAAAAAAA